UACGGGGGGUGCAAGCGUUGUUCGGAAUUACUGGGCGUAAAGGGCGCGUAGGCGGCCCACUAAGUCAGACGUGAAAUCCCCAGGCUCAACCUGGGAACUGCGUCUGAUACUGGAUGGCUUGAAUCCGGGAGAGGGAUGCAGAAUUCCAGGUGUAGCGGUGAAAUGCGUAGAUAUCUGGAGGAAUACCGGUGGCGAAGGCGGCAUCCUGGACCGGCAUUGACGCUGAGGAGCGAAAGCUAGGGGAGCAAACGGG
rnacentral:rRNA from 1 species